rnacentral:rRNA from 1 species
GACGGGGGGGGUAAGCGUUGUUCGGAAUUACUGGGCGUAAAGGGCUCGUAGGCGGCCAACUAAGUCAUACGUGAAAUCCCUCAGCUUAACUGGGGAACUGCGUGUGAUACUGGAUGGCUUGGAUUUGGGAGAGGGAUGCGGAAUUCCAGGUGUAGCGGUGAAAUGCGUAGAUAUUGGGAAGAACACCUGAGGCGAAGGCGGGAUGCUGGGCCGACACUGACGCUGAGGCGCGAAAGCCAGGGGAGCAAACGGG